UGGGGAAUAUUGGACACUGGGCGAAAGCCUGAUCCAGCCAUGCCGCGUGUGUGAAGAAGGUCUUCGGAUUGUAAAGCACUUUAAGUUGGGAGGAAGGGCAGUAAGCGAAUACCUUGCUGUUUUGACGUUACCGACAGAAUAAGCACCGGCUAACUCUGUGCCAGCAGCCGCGGUAAUACAGAGGGUGCAAGCGUUAAUCGGAAUUACUGGGCGUAAAGCGCGCGUAGGUGGGUCGUUAAGUUGAAUGUGAAAGCCCCGGGCUCAACCUGGGAACUGCAUCCAAAACUGGCGGGCUAGAGUAGGGCAGAGGGUGGUGGAAUUUCCUGUGUAGCGGUGAGAUGCGUAGAUAUAGGAAGGAACACCAGUGGCGAAGGCGACCACCUGGGCUCAUACUGACACUGAGGUGCGAAAGCGUGGGGAGCAAACAGG
rnacentral:rRNA from 1 species